rnacentral:rRNA from 1 species
GACGAACGCUGGCGGCGUGCCUAAUACAUGCAAGUCGAACGCAUUUUCUUUCACCGUAGCUUGCUACACCGAAAGAAAAUGAGUGGCGAACGGGUGAGUAACACGUGGGUAACCUGCCCAUCAGCGGGGGAUAACACUUGGAAACAGGUGCUAAUACCGCAUAAUUCCAUUUACUGCAUGGUAGGUGGAUGAAAGGCGCUUUUGCGUCACUGAUGGAUGGACCCGCGGUGCAUUAGCUAGUUGGUGGGGUAACGGCCUACCAAGGCUGCGAUGCAUAGCCGACCUGAGAGGGUGAUCGGCCACACUGGGACUGAGACACGGCCCAGACUCCUACGGGAGGCAGCAGUAGGGAAUCUUCGGCAAUGGACGCAAGUCUGACCGAGCAACGCCGCGUGAGUGAAGAAGGUUGUCGGAUCGUAAAACUCUGUUGUUAGAAAAGAACAAGGAUGAGAGUGGAAAGUUCAUCCCUUGACGGUAUCUAACCAGAAAGCCACGGCUAACUACGUG